rnacentral:tRNA from 3 species
AGGGCAGUAGUUUCAACGGUAGAACGGUGGUCUCCAAAAUCACUAGUGGGGGUUCGAUUCCCUCCUGCCCUGCCA